AGUACAGGUGGUGCAUGGCUGUCGUCAGCUCGUGUCGUGAGAUGUUGGGUUAAGUCCCGCAACGAGCGCAACCUUACCCUUAGUUGUUUCCCGAAAGGAUUACCCUCUAAGGGGACUGCCCGGACAACGGGAGGAAGGUGGGGAUGACGUCAAGUCCGCAUGCUCCUUACGUCUAGGGCUACACACGUCCUACAAUGGGGUCGACAGUGGGAUGCAAAGCCGCGAGGUGGAGCCAAUCCCCAAACGGCCUCUCAGUUCGGAUAGUAGUCUGCAACUCGACUACUUGAAGUCGGAAUCGCUAGUAAUGGCGGAUCAGCAUGCCGCCGUGAAUACGUUCCCGGGUCUU
rnacentral:rRNA from 1 species